rnacentral:rRNA from 1 species
GAUGAACGCUAGCGACAGGCUUAACACAUGCAAGUCGAGGGGCAGCAUAGGAGUAGCAAUACUUUGGUGGCGACCGGCGCACGGGUGAGUAACGCGUAUGCAACCUACCUAUCAGAGGGGAAUAACCCGGCGAAAGUCGGACUAAUACCGCAUAAAACAGGGGCACCGCAUGGUGAUAUUUGUUAAAGAAAUUCGCUGAUAGAUGGGCAUGCGUUCCAUUAGGUAGUUGGUGAGGUAACGGCUCACCAAGCCGACGAUGGAUAGGAGAACUGAGAGGUUGGUCCCCCAAACUGGUACUGAGACACGGACCAGACUCCUACGGGAGGCAGCAGUGAGGAAUAUUGGUCAAUGGGCGGGAGCCUGAACCAGCCAAGUCGCGUGAAGGAAGAAGGAUCUAUGGUUCGUAAACUUCUUUUGCAGGGGAAUAAAGUGCGGGACGUGUCCUGUUUUGUAUGUACCCUGAGAAUAAGGAUCGGCUAACUCCGUGCCAGCCGCCGCAGUAAGAC